rnacentral:misc_RNA from 1 species
AAGAUAUAACUCGCUGAUGACCCUAUUCAAAUAGAAGGUAGGAAUGAAUCGAAUCUCACACCAAAAAAAGAGGAAAAGUGUGAUUCAAUAAGCCUAAAUGAAUAAUACCAUUCAAUUUCAAGAGGGACACUACACUUUAUAUGAGUAAAACUACUUGUUUUGGCUCCUAUUUCUUUUUCUUCUUUUUAAAACAAUAUUUUUUAGAUUUAUGUUUUUCAGUUGUAUUGCGAAAUAAAUGUUUAAUCGAAUGAUAUAAGUUUACAGAUUAUCAUUCAAUCCAAUUGAAGGAUUUUUCAUUUUGUUUUAGUAAAGAUGGCUUUAAUAUCACUAAAUUAAAGCUUAUAAAAUAAUUUUAAUGAGAUCAAGUUGAAGCUGCUGAGGAGAUGAACAGUUUGGGUACAAAAAGUACAUUUCAUACACAAGACAAGGGAAAACUAUUGCAGCCCCAUGUCUGUUUUGGCAUUUUAUUUUUCUUCUUUUCAUUACAGUAAAUGCAUAAGUGUGGGACCAAUCCCAAGAAUUUGACUUGCAUCUUAUAUUUUUUAUCGUCCUUUUCUCUCUCAUAUAAUUCUCUACAAUGUCAGGCAAAAAAACAAAAGAGGAGACAAAAGGCCGUAAAAGCAAAACAGAAUAGAGGAGAGUCCAGCAGGUUUUAUAACAGUAAUAAAAACUUAUGGAUUGUCCUGCUUCUACUUGUUCUCCUCCUCCUUAAAGCUGCACCAUUACUGUACUAUACUUAGAUGCAUAAACGACUAUGCUAAAUGAAUAAACUAAUGCUAUGUCCUACGA